UGCAAUACUUUUUACUAUUUCCAUGGCUAAAAAUGAACUCAGUAUACAUAAUUUAUGAUAAAAAGGUUUAUUAUAAACCUAUUGACACUAUUGUAUUGUGGACUGUAGUUUCUGGUUCAUGGAAAUAACAAAUAUAGUCGUAUAAAGUAUAGACUUUAGUAUGAUAAUCGAAUUUUAUAAACAAAUUCUCUACCAUGCGCAAAAAUAAUUUAUCUAGAAAAGAAUUAUUCUUUGAUACCAUUCGACCAUUCGAGUUGAUUUUUGAACCAUUAUGGCGGUUAAUAAAUGAUUUAAUGCUAUACAUUCGAUACCAGUAUUUUUUUAUCGAUACAAGUAAAGUAUUGAUAGAUACAAAAAGUACUUGUAUCGAUACUUUUUUAAUAUCAGUAGUAUCGCAACAUCCAUAAUCACGAGGGCUCUUCUGUAAAUUGUUGUCUUUUCGUGAACACUGAUAGUAUGUUUAUGUUGCUGUGAUGUUUCAAACACCGUUUUAAUUUUUUCAUUGUCAAUCAAUCUUGUUGUCCAACAAUAUUUCAUAGCGGCCCUUCUAUAGGUCAGUGACUAAGUGUACCUUUUGGCCAAAAGAAGAGGAACAAUGCCGAAACGUUACACAUGGUAUAGCAGAACUUGCAUCUUAUUCCUUCUACAACCGAUUAUUACAUUUUUUAUUUACUUAAACCACUAAAAUGUCAAAUCUUCAACAUAGUGGCAACUUGAGAAAUGCUCCUGCGAAGAGUGUUCUUGAUGUGGUGAUAUAGAUAUUGGCAAAUAGUGGUGUAUCAAGUCGACUGAAUGAUCCAGUAAUAGCAGUAAUCCAGUAAUAGUAAUUUCUCAUUAUAGAUUGAUAUUAAUGGUAUUAAAGAUGACAUUAAAGAAUUU